UACAGCGAGGUUAAGGGUCAGUUUGGCUGCCCUGUGGUAGACAGCUGCUGGAUGUUCUGCUGUUUUUCCCUUUGUGGGGAGCCACUCGCGGGCCCUGACCUUCAGAAGACCCUGUAGUCCAAAUUUGAUCCCUUUCUCCUAAAGUCCAUUGAAUGGACCAGGCCCAUUCCUUACAUUUGGCGCCAAAACCCAGGAGGAGUUUUGUGUACCACAGUCCCCGCAAGGGCCUCUCCUCCCCUGAACCAGGAACCGACCCACCAACUGCUGACUAGCCACCUGCCCUGGCCUUCUGAGGGCCUAUACUCUUACUUAGCAUGACCUCUAUGUAAUCCUGUCCUCCACCGUUACUGCGGAUGAGAGAGAGCAAGUCCAGGCUGCAGCCCGAGAACAUGCUGACCAAGCCCGCCUGGUUGAUGUGACUUUAUCAGUCGGGCAAGUGGCUGUUCCUAUUACCAACCCUCAAUGGGACUAUCAGGAGACAAGUCAGCCAGGCAGUCCCCUCUUUGGAGCUGUUUGGGCUAGCCACCAACUGAAGAGGCCUGUACUUGAAGACCCCCAUCACCCUCACCAAGCCCAGUAGUGGGUAAGUCCAUCUCCUUUCUCGUGGACACAGGGGUUACCUACUUCAUGCUGCCCUCCCAUUUGGGGUCACUUUUUC